GUGUUUUAAAAAAAUCACUUUCAACCGGGUGGUUUUUUAAAUGUCCACCCGUUUUUUUUUUUAAUUUACUGUGGGUGCACGUGGGGGUCACAAAAAUAAGAAGAUAUAUAAUUCACAUUUAAUGGAGUUGAACAAACAUAAAUAGACGUAGUCAUAUUAAUUGUCAAAAUAUUCUUUGAUUUGAUUUUUUUCAACAAUUUAUCUCUUUUCUCUCAUCUUUCAUUUACAAUUUUAUGUCCUGUUUCUUGCUUUUGUGUCGUAUUUUUGGCCAAUAGAACAGUAGUAUCCUUCCUCUGUGACUAUAAGUCUUUUGAAGUCUUGCUCAUAUUUGUCUUCACUUGCGUGUCUUUUCCGUUGUUUGGUUGAAUUUUGUUCAAUUUCCACAACUUCAACAUUACUAUCAAUUUUAUUUAACUUAUUUGGUCUAGUAUUUUCUUUAUCAUCAUCGUCAUCUGCCUUUCUUGUACCCCGAUUGAUAAAUGAAAACAUUGAAAUUUGACGAGUGGACGCCAUCUUUGUCACUGAAAACAAAUCAGCGAGGCGCGAUUAGUAUUCAAAUUUUAACGGUACGGAACCGAAAAAAAUCCGAAAUUUGAAAAAAAAGCCGACC
rnacentral:lncRNA from 1 species